rnacentral:misc_RNA from 1 species
GAUGAAGAACGUAGCGAAAUGCGAUAAGUAAUGUGAAUUGCAGAAUUCAGUGAAUCAUCGAAUCUUUGAACGCACAUUGCGCCCGCCAGUAUUCUGGCGGGCAUGCCUGUUCGAGCGUCAUUUCCACCAUCAGGCCCCCGGGCCUGUGUUGGGGACCUGCGGCUGCCCGCAGGCCCCGAAAUUCCGUGGCGGUCGCGCCGUAGCAACCGAGCGUAGUAACUAAAACGUCUCGCUCUGGCUCGCUGGGCGCGCUCCGGCCGUAAAACACCCCCCCUUUUCGCAAAGGUUGACCUCGGAUCAGGUAGGAAUACCCGCUGAACUUAAGCAUAUCAAUAAGCGGAGGA